GUGAGGAAUAUUGGACAAUGGGCGCAAGCCUGAUCCAGCCAUGCCGCGUGCAGGAAGACGCAUCUAUGGUGUGUAAACUGCUUUUGUACGGGAAGAAACACUCCCUCGUGAGGGAGCUUGACGGUACCGUAAGAAUAAGGAUCGGCUAACUCCGUGCCAGCAGCCGCGGUAAUACGGAGGAUCCAAGCGUUAUCCGGAAUCAUUGGGUUUAAAGGGUACGUAGGCGGUUUAAUAAGUCAGUGGUGAAAGCCCAUCGCUCAACGAUGGAACGGCCAUUGAUACUGUUAGACUUGAAUUACAAGGAAGUAACUAGAAUAUGUAGUGUAGCGGUGAAAUGCUUAGAUAUUACAUGGAAUACCAAUUGCGAAGGCAGCUCACUAAGGCGAUACUGACGCUGAGGCACGAAAGCGUGGGGAUCGAACAGGAUUAGAAACCCGGGUAGUCC
rnacentral:rRNA from 1 species